rnacentral:rRNA from 1 species
UACGAAGGGGGCUAGCGUUGCUCGGAAUUACUGGGCGUAAAGCGCACGUAGGCGGAUUGUAAGUCGGGGGUGAAAUCCUGGAGCUCAACUCCAGAACUGCCUUCGAUACUGGCGAUCUCGAGUUCGGGAGAGGUGAGUGGAACUGCGAGUGUAGAGGUGAAAUUCGUAGAUAUUCGCAAGAACACCAGUGGCGAAGGCGGCUCACUGGCCCGAUACUGACGCUGAGGUGCGAAAGCGUGGGGAGCAAACAGG